rnacentral:lncRNA from 1 species
UUGGAGAAAUAGGAAAUCGAGAGAAACUGAAAUGAACUUAUUUGCUGAGCCCUAGUGCUCACAGCAAUAUAGGAACAACCUACAGAACAAGAGAACAACUUGCAUAACAUCUUUAUUAAUGCCCUGUUUCCUUUUCUCUUUUACUUCCAAGAUGCAGCAAUAACUUAUGAAAUGUAGUGUGAAGGCCAAGGACUUAAGACAGUUUUAAAAGGGGAUUAUACAGAUUCAUGGAAGAAAAGGCUGUCAAUGGCUCGUCAUCACGAUGGCCAUGCAUUUCAGCCAGAAUCAGAGGCGGCAUCUCUAAACACCAGUCGCUAAGGAACCACAGAAGGAGAAGGAGGGCGCUGCCCUCAUGUCCCUUAGGCAUCUGGCUGACCACUCAAGGAAACUGGAUGCUGGACGAGGUAGGAAGUUGAUCUGAUCCAGCAGAGUUCUUAUUAGGUCUGCAACUCAACACAAACACCUUGUUGAUGGUCAGUGGGCCAGCCAUGACUCCCUGCUCCCCGCAGCUUUUACUUAGCUGAAAUGCUGCUGGUCUCGUUGAGUGUAUCUCUCAGAUGGCACCAUCUCUUUUGAAAGGGAGAGACAUGCCAGGAGCACAUCAUCAGUCAGGCUCACACACAAAGGAGCAGAGAGACGGCAAGAAUCAUCCUGACAAACAAAGGGCUAGUUUCACAGGCCAGCGAUCAGCCCUUAAAAGCCUCCCUCCCCUCCCCACUCUAAUGGAAGAAGUGGCAGCUUCCGCAACAACAUGGAUGCGACCUUCUAGAGAACAAACACUAACAAGCUUUGGGAUGCUACAGUGUCCUACCUCGUGCCAAACAGCUCCAUGCACCUCAAAAGCUUU